GCACGUCAUCCUGAGCGGAGCGAAGGAUCUUUUCCCGUCAGCACGAGGCGCUAGGCCAGUCGUUCUUACCUGGUAAGAUCCUUCGCUCCGCUCAGGAUGGCGUGC
rnacentral:pre_miRNA from 18 species